UACGUAGGUGGCAAGCGUUGUCCGGAUUUAUUGGGUUUAAAGGGCGCGCAGGCGGCUACGCACGUCCGUUGUGAAAUCGCUCGGCUCAACUGGGCGGGGUCAGCGGAUACGGCGUGGCUGGAGCAAGCUAGGGGGCAAUGGAAUUCCCGGUGUAGUGGUGGAAUGCGUAGAUAUCGGGAGGAACACCAGUGGCGAAGGCGGUUGCCUGGAGCUUUGCUGACGCUGAGGCGCGAAAGCGUGGGGAGCGAUCCGG
rnacentral:rRNA from 1 species